UUGUGCCAACAUACAAGCCAUGAUCCAUUUCCAACUUCAGUUUUGACGCCCUGGAAGAGGUUUGCAAGAUCAUUUAAGUUUGGAAUAUAACAAUUCAAAACAAAUAAGAAUCAAUAGUGGAAAGUUAAGAGUUGGUAACUGAUAGAGAUUUAUAUGGAAACAAGGGAAGCUACAAGAAGAAAGGGGAGACUCCUACGCUUCUUGCAACAUGGCAACUGUCAGCCUGCCAUCCCUCAGGCCAACCAGGCGCCUCCAUGGAUAUUGGCCGGCCCAUGGAGGAACAGAGGGCAAGCGCCAGGGAUGGCCAGGGCCCAGGGAGCAAGGAUACACCAAACGGCCAUCCAAGGGAUCAACAAUGCCCCUGCACGCCCUAAAAGUGCCCCUGCUGGAACAUUUCUCCAGUGGAGUACAACUGUCCCACCAAGACUGAAGAGUGCUCCAGCGGUAAUGUACCCCUCUGCACCUGGACGAUACAAGACAGGGAAGGCCACUGCCAUGCAACCAUCAGGGGGUGCUGAAAUUGAAAGCCUUCCCUUAAGAAGAAGCCCCCGGAUUCGUGGCCAGCAGUUGGCAAAGGAAAGCAUGGCCAAAGAGCCGGGACGCCAGGGAAACCGACGGCGUUGAAGACCAUCAUCAUUUUUAGACAUUUUAGAUUUAUAGACUAUAGACUUUAGAAGAUAGGCUGAUAGGAUUUUUUUCAUUUUUUUUUUUAAUUUGCAGAGGAUCUGUUGCGAAGACCCUGAGAACUGGACAGCUCCUUUCCAUCCCCCCCUCCCCUUUCUCCUUACCUCCUUUGUAAGGAGAGAAGAGAGGCGAAGAGGUGGCUGCUGGCUGUGGCAAAGGAGUGUGGGUCACGCAUCCAGUGGGAAAGGAGGCUGUCAUGGCAUCUUGCUGGCAGGGACCGAGUUCCAGACCCUGGCAGCCAUUGCCUGGACCCCAUCUCAGAGCCCAAGGACUGGGGGAACGUCCCCUAUUAGCUUC